UCGUAAGCCUGCUGAGGACAGAUCAAGUGGAUGUGUGAGUCGAACCCGCCGGCGGUGACAAUGCUGUGUUCGCCUGCAAUGACAUCUGUGCCGUUCCCGACGACCAGGUUUGGAUCGACACCUUCCAUGACGUCGGGGUUGCCAGCUUUGCCGAUGCCCGCGAUCACACCGUUCUUGAUACCGAUGUCAGCUUUGUAGAUGCCAGACCAGUCCACGAUCAGAGCAUUGGUGAUGACCGUGUCGAGUACAUCUUCAUCUUUACGGUCAGACGCCUGACCCAUGCCAUCGCGA
rfam:Cladophialophora carrionii strain KSF Contig1655, whole genome shotgun sequence.